GAUGAACGCUAGCGGCAGGCCUAAUACAUGCAAGUCGAACGGUGUCUUCGGACAUAGUGGCGCACGGGUGCGUAACACGUAUGCAACCUACCUUACAUUGGGGGAUAGCCUUUCGAAAGGGAGAUUAAUACCGCAUAAGACAGUAGCUGGGCAUCCAGCAGCUGUUAAAGAUUUAUCGAUGUAAGCUGGGCAUGCGUCCAAUUAGCUAGUUGGUGAGGUAACGGCUCACCAAGGCAAUGAUUGGUAGGGGAACUGAGAGGUCAAUCCCCCACACUGGCACUGAGAUACGGGCCAGACUCCUACGGGAGGCAGCAGUAGGGAAUAUUGGGCAAUGGACGCAAGUCUGACCCAGCCAUGCCGCGUGAAGGAUGAAGGUCCUCUGGAUUGUAAACUUCUUUUAUAUGGGACGAAACACUUUCUUUCUAGAGAGCUUGACGGUACCAUAGGAAUAAGCACCGGCUAACUCCGUGCCAGCCGCCGCGGUAAAAC
rnacentral:rRNA from 1 species